AUUACUUUAAUAAAUAUAUAUGCAUACAUUGCAUAUAUAAUUUACAUAAUUGAAGACAUUGAUUUUGGAUCCUACAAUCACAGAACAUAAAAAACUUGAAAUAUCUACAUCACCAAGGAGACAAUAAUACGAAAAUAAUAGUAAUAAUAAUAGUUCAUUAUAUGCUAACCUAUAUACAAAAAAAGAAAGCUAAGCUUAGGAUAAUUUUUUCAUUGAAUCAUCAUCAUCUUCAAAUCAAUUACUGGUCGUCUGGAUCUUCCAAGAAAACUUUCCAAAAAAAGAGCUUAUAUACACGUUCUUCCCAUCAACCCAUCAUAACCUUCAAAAUAAGAUAUAUUUACAUAAAAUGCAAUCUUGUGAAACCACAGACGACAAACCCAAAAUGAAAUCAUCAACAUUCAAUCACCCAAGAAAGGGCUCACCAGCUCCGAAACCCACCCAACAUCCGGAUCCUCAACAACUUCACCCAAACCUGAACCUGAACCCAUGCCCGAUCCAUUAAAAGAGUUCUCUUUGCUCAGUUUCUCAAACAUCUUCACCCUUAUAUCUCUUCCAGAUUCCACCCUCUCCAUCACAGGCUCUUCUUCACAACUCUGAUCCCAAAGAUCAAAAUGAUUAACCCUACCACGACUCGGCACCUGUGUAGGUGUCGAUGGUAGGCUACAGAAUCCGGGUCGGAUCACGGGUCCUCUCGGAGAUCCGAAUCUAGGAGAACCCAUUUGAACAUUCCAUGAAGAAGGUAAUGACUUCAUGGUACCAAGUUGUAAGUUUCUCAGAGAAGCCACCAUUUCAUUCACAGAGCUAGAACCCACAGAUCUUCCCAAAGAUCGAGUCAUCGGAGACAUCGGAGGAGACUCCACCGGUGGAGAAACCGAACCAGGAGAUGACAUGAAUUGAAGAGUUUUCACACAGGAAGACUCAAAAGCAAGCCUGAGAGGAGAACCGUCGUACGAAUCAACGGAGGGCACACUGCGGGGACUCUGUUGAGUCGGAGCCCUAAGUUGCUCUGUCGUGUGAGCGAAAAAACAAACUGGCCGGCGACAACUGGUUCCGUCUUUACACGGCUGAGUACGGUAACGCGAAGGAUGAAGCCAACACUCGAAAACACCAUGAGCAAACUCACACGAAUCACCUUUCUUGCAACUUCCUUUACGAAAAUCAGGACAUGAAGUGCCGGAGUAGUUAUACUUUCUCGGGUCACGGCGGCGAGCUUUCUCGCCGGGAUGAGAAAAAGGACACUCCGUCCAGUCAUGAGACCUGCCACGUGCGCAUCGACGAAUCUUGAACUCGAACAUGCGGAAAUGAUCGUUAGAAUACGAAUCCACCGAUUCAUGAGUCGGAAAAAUCUCCGAGUCGGAAUCGGAGUCGUUGUUUUCGUUAACAUAGUGUUGAAAAGCGCUUAGCGCUUCUUGCAUGUAGAACUGAGAAUAAUCGUCGUUUGAUGUUAAAGGUGAAAAGAUCUCCGCCGUGGGAUUGUUCAACGUUGGCCAUGGUGGAACGUGUACGGUUGGAUUUGUACGAUGAGGUGGUUCCCCUAACAUCAUGGUGGUGGAGGAAGUUUUGGAUAUGGAUAAAUAUUUACUUUGCAACUAUCUAUCCCUCCCUAUAUAAACAGCAAAUUUAACCGUGGUUUGGUUUUAGUAACUGUGGUUCGGUUAAAGUUAGUGGGGGGUUAUUUCUACGUUACCGCGAUUUUAUAUUGGGAAUGGGAGGUAUGGUCACAGACUCAUGGGUUGUGUUUAGUAGUGCCACGUAAUGAACAGAUGUUGAGGUGGUGAAACUGUAAAAGGGUGAUUGGUUUGUCACCAACACAAAAUGACCCAGCUUUUUUAUUUUUUAACGCCCCUAGUCUUCCCACUAAAAGAUACUUAUAAUUAUUAGUACGAUAAAGAUAGAUAAAUUAUUCCCUAAGAAUUAGAUCAAACACAAUAAACGGACAUAGUUUUGAGUUUGUUGUACGAUAAGUUAGUUUCGGAUUUUAAAGCAUACUCCUUCCAUUCUAAAUUGUAUGUUACUUUAGAAAAAAUAUUUGUCCUAAAUUGUAUGUCACUUUAGAAUACCAAUGAAACAUUAAUGUUAUUUUUCCUA
rnacentral:lncRNA from 1 species